rnacentral:rRNA from 1 species
UACCUGCAGCUCAAGUGGUGGUCGUUAUUAUUGGGCCUAAAACGUUCGUAGCCGGUUUAUUAAAUGCCUGGGUAAAUCGUGUAGCUUAACUAUACGAAUUCCGGGUAGACUGAUAAACUUGAGACUGGGAGAAGCUAGAGGUACUCCUGGGGUAGAGGUGAAAUUCUGUAAUCCUAGGGGGACCACCGGUGGCGAAGGCGUCUAGCUAGAACGGGUCUGACGGUGAGGGACGAAGCCCUGGGGCGCAAACGGGAUUAGAUACCCCGGUAGUCCAGGGUGUAAACGCUGCUUGCUUGAUGUUAGUUGGGCCCCGAGCCCAAUUAGUGUCGGAGUGAAGAUGUUAAGCAAGCUGCCUGGGAAGUACGAUCGCAAGAUUGAAACUUAAAGGAAUUGGCGGGGGAGCACAGCAACGGGUGGAGCGUGCGGUUU